ACCAUUACUACAUUACUGGAUUAUUACAUGUCUUCGAUAUUGAAGAAGCUGGAAAGGAAGCAUUAAGAUUCCGUUAUUAGGAUGAAUGCCUUCCUGUUGAUCAUGGAAACAUACUUUGAUCAGAGUUUUGAUUAUUUGAUGAAGACUAUGAAGCGUAAAUAACCCAAAAAAGCGAGACAGCGAACAAGACAGAUAGAACAACGAAAAGGAUAGGAAUCAGUAGAUUGAAUACAACCAGCUUUUCAGCUUAGGGUACACAUGCUCAUUGGUGCACAUGCUCAUAGAAUCGAGAAUGAAGACAACCGAGUCUUCCCUAGAUUUAAAGAAAAACCAGAGUCUGCACACCUGAUACCAGAGAACAGAGACAUCAAAAAAUAAACAAAAAGAAAACGAAAAUAAAGAGUAAGAAGAAUUGAAAGCAAAGAGUAGAACGAGAAACGAACGAGAAACAAACGAGAACAGAGAAUGAAGAAAAGAGAUACAACUCUGUUCUCGUUUUAGAAAAAAAAAACAAAUGAAAAAAACAAAGAACAAAUGAAAAAAACAAAGAACAAAUGAAAAAAAGAGAAUGUAAAACCGAAAAGAAUCACACAGGUAAACAAAGAACUGAGAAACAAAGAUUAAAAAGAAAUGAGAACAAAGAUUUAAAAUGAGAAACAAACGAGAACAGUGAACGAAGAAACCCUUGAAAACAAAGAACAGAGAAACGAAAAGUACUAAAGAAAAUGAAAACAACCAAAGAAUUGGAAAGAAGAGAUCAAACAAAACUAAAAAAGAAAGAAACCUAAAGAAGAAAUGAAACGGAAAAGAAAUGAAAACCAGAAAUGAAACCUAAAAGGAUAAUGAAAAGGACAUUGAAGAAGAAACCCAUGGCCGAUAAUGAAGAAUGAAGAAGACAACCAGGAAACACCUACAAGACAUUGUCAGAAAAACACCUCUAUAACUGACACCUAUAAUAAAACCUACGAAAGUCUACCUAUAAAAAAUAAAUAAACCAAACUAAUUACCUGAAUUAGUGAGAGUAAGUAAAUUUCACAUCCAACCGUUUGUUCGAAAUCCAACGGGCAGUAUCAGUUGUGCGCACGGUGUGCAGUGCCCACCUGAUUCAAAUUGUUUUAAUAUAGGCAAAGAUCGGGUAAUACCACAAUUUGAAUCAGACAUAGAACAUCUUGGUCGGAAGUUUGAAUCUGAUAUCGUGAUCUGCAUUAUUUUCAUAUUAAUUAGAUAUUUAGAUAGGUAUUAGUAUUUUUCAAAUAUUAGUGAUAGGUAAAUACCUUUCUACAGAAACUAAAUGGGACGCAGAGAUUGAAAUAAAUAAAAAAUUGACAGAUAAUCCGAAGGUGAUUGAGAAGAUUCCUGAAGUUCGAAGGUGAUUCCUGCAGUUCGAAAAGAAGGUUUAAGAAUGAGGGAAAAGAAGACAGUGAUUACUGCAGUUUGAAAGUGAUUGAAAAGGAGACUAAAGAAGAUGAAAGUGACUGAGAGGGUGAUUGAAGAAGAUGAAGGUGAAGAAGAAGGUGAUUGGAGAAGAUGAAGGUGAUGGAGGUAUGGAGAAGUGUAGAGGAAGAAGAUGGUUGUUAUGGUUUUUAUGAAUACGGUUUGGGUAGAGUUAAAUAGAAAAAUCGUGAAAAGACAAUACAUGCAUAGGUUAAAUAGGUAUAGGUAGGUUUUUAAAUAGCUAGUAAG
rnacentral:lncRNA from 1 species